UGGGGUAUAGCCAAGUGGUAAGGCAGAGGUUUUUGGUACCUUGUAGCGUAGGUUCGAAUCCUACUACCCCAGCUA
rnacentral:tRNA from 1 species